CUAGUGGUGGGACUGAGAGAUUCUAUGGGGAGAAAGGCCAAGGAUCUGAAAGUUGUCUAGUCCACGAGACUGGAUGUCUCACCAGCACUGACAUGGCCCUGCAGUCCCAGGAAAGUCCUAGAUAGCUGCUGGUUUUCAGUCUCCACUGGAAUCCUGGAAGAGGUAGGUUCUAACACCAGCAGAAGAGUAUCUCGGGGACAGGCUACGUGAACCUGCCGGUCAGAGUGUGGGAACACAGGUGAAGAAAGUAGACCAUCGAUUGGACCUGGAGCUGACUUUCCAUAGCAAGAAGAUGACAGAUAAAGCAUCCUUCAAGUGUGAAGAAGGUCUUCUUAGAAACAUGUCUACUCACCUCCACUACCAAGAACAGCAGUGAUUGUGAACACAUCCAAAUGAGCAAAAUCUAAGAGCUUUCACCAAAAAACCCUCAUGGAAGCACAUCUAAAAGAUGUGUGGCGGGAGGAAGGGAACUGGAUUCAGAGAAACUCAGUGAGAGUCAGAAAUGUUUACUUCUAAGAGGUUGUUAGACUAUGUUCAAACAUCAACAAAUGACUAUAAAACAAUAUUUUCCAUGACCAA